rnacentral:rRNA from 1 species
GACGAACGCUGGCGGCGUGCCUAAUACAUGCAAGUAGAACGCCGUUGCGAACGGGUGAGUAACGCGUAGGUAACUGCCUGGUAGCGGGGGAUAACUAUUGGAAACGAUAGCUAAUAACGACUACUACCAGAUGGACCUGCGUUGUAUUAGCUAGUUGGUGGGGUAACGGCGCACCAAGGCAACGAUACAUAGCCGACCUGAGAAGGUGACCGGCCACACUGGGACUGAGACACGGCCCAGACUCCUACGGGAGGCAGCAGUAGGGAAACUUCGGCAAGGGGGGGAAACCUGACCGAGCAACGCCGCGUGAGUGAAGAAGGUUUUCGGAUCGUAAAGCUCUGUUUUGAAGGAAGCGUUACUUAACCAGAAAGGGACGGCUAACUACGUGCCAGCCGCCGCGGUAAUUC